GUGGGGAAUCUUGCGCAAUGGGCGAAAGCCUGACGCAGCCAUGCCGCGUGAAUGAUGAAGGUCUUAGGAUUGUAAAAUUCUUUCACCGGGGACGAUAAUGACGGUACCCGGAGAAGAAGCUCCGGCUAACUUCGUGCCAGCAGCCGCGGUAAUACGAAGGGGGCUAGCGUUGCUCGGAAUUACUGGGCGUAAAGGGCGCGUAGGCGGACAGCUUAGUCAGAGGUGAAAGCCCAGGGCUCAACCUUGGAAUUGCCUUUGAUACUGGCUGUCUUGAGUUUGGGAGAGGUGAGUGGAACUCCGAGUGUAGAGGUGAAAUUCGUAGAUAUUGGGAGGAACACCAGUGGCGAAGGCGGCCUGCUGGACAUUAACUGACGCUGAGGCGCGAAAGCGUGGGGAGCAAACAGGAUUAGAAACCCCUGUAGUCC
rnacentral:rRNA from 1 species